UUGCAGUUGAUAUAGUUCUAAACAAUGAAAUGCACGAGGCCACAAAAAUAUUUGUGGAGGUAUGCCACAUGAAUUCGCUUAAUAUAAUGUAACAGGUUUAGGCAAAACUGAAACUAUAUAAUCCCGAAUGUGUUAAUGCAGGGGCUGAAGCCAGUGUCGAAAGGAAACAUGAUUCCCAAUAGCAAGAUAGAGGAAUGCAAUGAGAUGAUAAAGAAUGAAACAGCUUGCCAAUGCUCCUUCACUUGCUCUGUCAUCGAUUCUCCAGCUGAUAAUCCGAAACAUAAGGAGCCAUUAUCUGCUCCAUUUUAAGCCCCUGUCCUCGUUUAGAGUUCUGGCUCUCUAUAUGUUUUCAUUUCUCUGUAUCUUUGUUUCCUUGAAAAUUAUUAACUACGAUUAAUGAUAUUAGCAUAAUUGUCAAUGAUCUUUUCUUGUUGUAGCCAACAGAUUGCAGAAAUAUAUCUCAAUCUCAAGGUCACUGACUGAGCCAGGGCCAGUCUGUUUGGUUUAGUUGUCAUAAAAAAAAGUUAC
rnacentral:lncRNA from 1 species